ensembl:lncRNA
GGGGGACACUCGCAUAAAGUAACGCAGUAGAACUCAGGAGCCCGGGGUAGAACCUGGACUUCAAAUCUCCGCCUUCCCGGCCGGGUGGUGGGCCCAUAUCCUGAGUAGCCUCUAGGAAGCGCUAGACACAUAAACUAUAUACCUUUUCUGGACCUCAGAUUCCUCAUUUACACAAUCAAGGCUCCUGAUUUCUACCUAAAAUGACUGCAAUACCACGAGAUGAGACACAUGAGACCUGGUGCAGCAGUAACACACAGGAGGGAUCCAGCGAAGGUUCUGAAGAAGAUUCCAGCCUGCCACACUGUUGUGCUGUGAGUCCAGUGCUUAGUGGAACCCUGUCGUGGCCCACAGCCAUCAGGAUAUUUCUCCGGGAAAGCCCUUGGACCAAGAAGUCUAGAAUUGUCUGUGAAAACAAAAGCAUUUGGAUUCUUUUCAGGAAAAAUGUAACCUGCAAACAAAUAGCCUUGGAAAAUCAGUGCCUCACCCUCGGUGCCUGGGUCAGGCACAGGGAGUGCCCCCAGCCCGCCCCACCCGCUGCUUUCUAGCUGGAGUCCACCUCCUUUUCCUCUUCUGUAUGUUGUCCUGGCUGCCCAAAAGGCAAUGCCUCCCCUCCCUGCCUCACCCUUCCCUAGACUUGUUCAGGCCCUAAGUCUUUGCAAGUGUGCUUGCUCUACCUGGACUGUUCUUCCCUCCUUGUCUGUGAGCCCUUUAUUAUAAUUUAGGACCCAGCUCCAACUUCUCCCUGUUGGUUGAUUAUUUGCUCCCCUACUAUGUUACCCUGCAUAAUUUCAAUUUUAAAUAUUCUUUUUAAAAAAGAUAAUAACCCUUGAUUUUAUAUUUAAAAAUAUAACAAUAAAAAUGGUUGGUUGCCUUUUUUUUUUUUUUUUUUGAGGCAGAGUCUUGCUUUGUCACCCAGGCUGGAGUGCAGUGGCUCAGCACACUGAAACCUCCACCUCCCAGGUUCAAGCAAUUCUCCCACCUCAGCAUCCCGAGUAGCUGGGAUUACAGGCACAUGCCACCAUGCGCAGCUAAUUUUUUUUUUUUUAGUAGAGAUGGGGUUUCACAAUGUUGGCCAGGCUAGUCUUGAACUCCUGACCUUGUGAUCCACCCACCUCGGACUCCCAAAGUGCUGGGAUUACAGGCGUGAGCCACCGCGCCCAGCCAGUUGGCAAUUCUUAAGCUCUAAUGCUCUUGUUAUGAGCCAGGCAGUGUGGUACAUAAGGUUACCCACUCCAUAUGCAAAAUGUUUAGGACAGAAACAGGCAAUGGUAAGUGCUUGGUAAGUGUUACUUAUUACUAGUCUUAUUAGUUAUUUUAAUUCUUUCACCGCAUUUGCAGAAAUUAUGCUUUCUUUUGUGCAUUAUAAUGAUCAGGUUACAUGUUUGUGAGCUUCUUGAGGGCAGGGACUAUGUCUUUUACCUCUGGUAUCUCGGAGCACGUGACUAUCCCAAGGGUAUUUCAUGAGUGAAUAUCUAGGUGUUGAAGUUGGUGACUGAUGUUUAUCUCAAGAGUUCCCAAGUCAAUUUGGAGUAGGGGUAGCCCAAAGAAUGUAGGACUGAUAAUCAGAAGAUCUGGGCUUAGUUCUAUUCCAACUAACUACUAGCUUUGUGACCUUGGGCAGAUUAGCCAAUCUUUUCUGAAUCCCAAAUAACUGUUUUCCAAAAUGAGAAUAAUUGUCCCUAACUUGCUUUCCUUUCAGGUUUGCUUUGAGCAUCAGAUGACCUCACAUAGGGGAGAGUUUUGUGAAUUGUAAAGUAUUUUACACAUGUGCAACAUUAUUGUUUGUAUUAUGUUGCCAUCACCACCAUACUUGGUGGAACAUGAGCUCACAUGUAGCUCUUGUUGUAUAAAUAUCAAUAUGUCAUUUUUGCUUCUUCACAGUGUUCAAAACUGUUGCUUCUUUAUGUUUGGGAUGUUCUUCCUCCUCAAAGCAGGCAUCCAAGGUAUUCGCCUCAAGCAUUUUGAAGGGCUUUAAAUGGCUCUUGAUUUUAUCACUUGCCUGUUUUAAAAAUCUCUGGCCCAAAAUUUCAAAGUUACACUUUCUCCCAGGAGAGGUCAUGUAAGAAUUGUAACUAAUCAUAGCGUUUACUGUUUGAUAUUAUCUAAUUCAAGAAGUGAGAUGCUAUAGGUUAUAGGAAGGGAUGAAAAGAAGUAUAAGACAUAAUCUUACUCUCAAGAAACUUACUGUCUAUUAUGGGAGUCAGGGCUAAGCCUUAGACUUAUGGGCAAAAUAUAUGAUUUGGGAAAGGAAAGACUCCUCUGUGUUGAGGUGGUUUGUGAAGGUCUCGGACAAAAUUGGAUCUUGUUUUAAGCCUUAAAGAAUGACUGAUGUUUAGACUAUAAUGCUGGGAACUUAAUUAAUAAGUCAGGGCCAUUGAGUAGUGCUGGUAACAUUUCCCUUUUCAGCAAUAUUGUUGAUUUCUUUAGUUCUUUGUGGAAUACGAGGAAGAUAUGAGAAGAUUCUAGCAAUUUAUCCAUUGAAAAAUGUUUGAAUCCAGAAAGCUGCUAAUAUUCUAUGGCUGAUGCUUUUAUGAUGAGAAAAUAAAAAUCUCUACUUUUCUUUUCAGCCAUGAUGUAUUUGUUUCAAAAAAUGUCAGAGAGAAAUUUGUUCAAAGGAAAUUGUGAUUCAAGCUUCCAUAUAAUAAUAACAAUAAUGAAAGCUCCUGGAUCAGUAAGGCUAAUUCAUAGUGCUUAGGGUAGAGGAUGAUGCUAAUAAUAACUCAGAUAAGAAGUUUUUAAAAAUACCUAAUUGUGAACUAUUUAGAAAAGAAUAAAAUGAGAACACGAGAUAUGAAAAUGUAUAUAAUGCAGCCAAAGUCAUAGUUAGAGGUAAAUUCAUAGCUUUUAUAUUUGCACUUAAAAAUAAGAAUAAGUAAAAAGAAAGCAACUCUAUGUCUAACCUAAGAAUUUAGAAAAUGAGCAGCAAAACAAAACCAAGAAAAGCAGAGCAAUUAAAAAAAAGCAAGGAUAAUAAGUAAUUAGAAAAUCAGUAAAAUUAAAGAAAUAUAAUUCAUAAAUCAUGAGCUGGUUCUUUGGGGGGAAAAGUAAAAUAAACAAACCUCUAGAAAGCCAACUGAAGAAGAAAA